UACGUAGGGUGCAAGCGUUGUCCGGAAUUAUUGGGCGUAAAGAGCUCGUAGGCGGCUUGUCGCGUCUGCUGUGAAAGCCCGGGGCUUAACUCCGGGUCUGCAGUGGGUACGGGCAGGCUAGAGUGUGGUAGGGGAGACUGGAAUUCCUGGUGUAGCGGUGAAAUGCGCAGAUAUCAGGAGGAACACCGAUGGCGAAGGCAGGUCUCUGGGCCAUAACUGACGCUGAGAAGCGAAAGCAUGGGGAGCGAACAGG
rnacentral:rRNA from 1 species